AGCGUACACGGUGGAUGCCCUGGCAGUCAGAGGCGAUGAAGGACGUGCUAAUCUGCGAUAAGCGUCGGUAAGGUGAUAUGAACCGUUAUAACCGGCGAUUUCCGAAUGGGGAAACCCAGUGUGAUUCGUCACACUAUCAUUAACUGAAUCCAUAGGUUAAUGAGGCGAACCGGGGGAACUGAAACAUCUAAGUACCCCGAGGAAAAGAAAUCAACCGAGAUUCCCCCAGUAGCGGCGAGCGAACGGGGAGCAGCCCAGAGCCUGAAUCAGUGUGUGUGUUAGUGGAAGCGUCUGGAAAGGCGCGCGAUACAGGGUGACAGCCCCGUACACAAAAAUGCACAUGCUGUGAGCUCGAUGAGUAGGGCGGGACACGUGGUAUCCUGUCUGAAUAUGGGGGGACCAUCCUCCAAGGCUAAAUACUCCUGACUGACCGAUAGUGAACCAGUACCGUGAGGGAAAGGCGAAAAGAACCCCGGCGAGGGGAGUGAAAAAGAACCUGAAACCGUGUACGUACAAGCAGUGGGAGCACGCUUAGGCGUGUGACUGCGUACCUUUUGUAUAAUGGGUCAGCGACUUAUAUUCUGUAGCAAGGUUAACCGAAUAGGGGAGCCGAAGGGAAACCGAGUCUUAACUGGGCGUUAAGUUGCAGGGUAUAGACCCGAAACCCGGUGAUCUAGCCAUGGGCAGGUUGAAGGUUGGGUAACACUAACUGGAGGACCGAACCGACUAAUGUUGAAAAAUUAGCGGAUGACUUGUGGCUGGGGGUGAAAGGCCAAUCAAACCGGGAGAUAGCUGGUUCUCCCCGAAAGCUAUUUAGGUAGCGCCUCGUGAAUUCAUCUCCGGGGGUAGAGCACUGUUUCGGCAAGGGGGUCAUCCCGACUUACCAACCCGAUGCAAACUGCGAAUACCGGAGAAUGUUAUCACGGGAGACACACGGCGGGUGCUAACGUCCGUCGUGAAGAGGGAAACAACCCAGACCGCCAGCUAAGGUCCCAAAGUCAUGGUUAAGUGGGAAACGAUGUGGGAAGGCCCAGACAGCCAGGAUGUUGGCUUAGAAGCAGCCAUCAUUUAAAGAAAGCGUAAUAGCUCACUGGUCGAGUCGGCCUGCGCGGAAGAUGUAACGGGGCUAAACCAUGCACCGAAGCUGCGGCAGCGACGCUUAUGCGUUGUUGGGUAGGGGAGCGUUCUGUAAGCCUGUGAAGGUGUGCUGUGAGGCAUGCUGGAGGUAUCAGAAGUGCGAAUGCUGACAUAAGUAACGAUAAAGCGGGUGAAAAGCCCGCUCGCCGGAAGACCAAGGGUUCCUGUCCAACGUUAAUCGGGGCAGGGUGAGUCGACCCCUAAGGCGAGGCCGAAAGGCGUAGUCGAUGGGAAACAGGUUAAUAUUCCUGUACUUGGUGUUACUGCGAAGGGGGGACGGAGAAGGCUAUGUUGGCCGGGCGACGGUUGUCCCGGUUUAAGCGUGUAGGCUGGUUUUCCAGGCAAAUCCGGAAAAUCAAGGCUGAGGCGUGAUGACGAGGCACUACGGUGCUGAAGCAACAAAUGCCCUGCUUCCAGGAAAAGCCUCUAAGCAUCAGGUAACAUCAAAUCGUACCCCAAACCGACACAGGUGGUCAGGUAGAGAAUACCAAGGCGCUUGAGAGAACUCGGGUGAAGGAACUAGGCAAAAUGGUGCCGUAACUUCGGGAGAAGGCACGCUGAUAUGUAGGUGAAGCGACUUGCUCGUGGAGCUGAAAUCAGUCGAAGAUACCAGCUGGCUGCAACUGUUUAUUAAAAACACAGCACUGUGCAAACACGAAAGUGGACGUAUACGGUGUGACGCCUGCCCGGUGCCGGAAGGUUAAUUGAUGGGGUCAGCGCAAGCGAAGCUCUUGAUCGAAGCCCCGGUAAACGGCGGCCGUAACUAUAACGGUCCUAAGGUAGCGAAAUUCCUUGUCGGGUAAGUUCCGACCUGCACGAAUGGCGUAAUGAUGGCCAGGCUGUCUCCACCCGAGACUCAGUGAAAUUGAACUCGCUGUGAAGAUGCAGUGUACCCGCGGCAAGACGGAAAGACCCCGUGAACCUUUACUAUAGCUUGACACUGAACAUUGAGCCUUGAUGUGUAGGAUAGGUGGGAGGCUUAGAAGUGUGGACGCCAGUCUGCAUGGAGCCGACCUUGAAAUACCACCCUUUAAUGUUUGAUGUUCUAACGUUGACCCGUAAUCCGGGUUGCGGACAGUGUCUGGUGGGUAGUUUGACUGGGGCGGUCUCCUCCUAAAGAGUAACGGAGGAGCACGAAGGUUGGCUAAUCCUGGUCGGACAUCAGGAGGUUAGUGCAAUGGCAUAAGCCAGCUUGACUGCGAGCGUGACGGCGCGAGCAGGUGCGAAAGCAGGUCAUAGUGAUCCGGUGGUUCUGAAUGGAAGGGCCAUCGCUCAACGGAUAAAAGGUACUCCGGGGAUAACAGGCUGAUACCGCCCAAGAGUUCAUAUCGACGGCGGUGUUUGGCACCUCGAUGUCGGCUCAUCACAUCCUGGGGCUGAAGUAGGUCCCAAGGGUAUGGCUGUUCGCCAUUUAAAGUGGUACGCGAGCUGGGUUUAGAACGUCGUGAGACAGUUCGGUCCCUAUCUGCCGUGGGCGCUGGAGAACUGAGGGGGGCUGCUCCUAGUACGAGAGGACCGGAGUGGACGCAUCACUGGUGUUCGGGUUGUCAUGCCAAUGGCACUGCCCGGUAGCUAAAUGCGGAAGAGAUAAGUGCUGAAAGCAUCUAAGCACGAAACUUGCCCCGAGAUGAGUUCU
rnacentral:rRNA from 1 species